rnacentral:misc_RNA from 1 species
AAUUCUCAACCUUUAAAGCUUUCUUUUACGAGGCUAGUAAGUGUUUGGAUCUUGGGAGUUUGCUGGCUUUACCGAGUCGGCUCUUCUUAAAUGCAUUAGCAAGAUUAAUCGCUGAAUUAUCUUUUGGUAUGAUAAUUAUCAAUGUCAUUGAUAAAACAGUGUGUUUUCCUUUAUGGAAAAAUCUGGCUUUCUAACUGUCUAUUAAAGACAAUUUAAUCAAUU